rnacentral:rRNA from 2 species
GAUUGGUGCUUGCAUCAUGAUUUACAUUUGAGUGAGUGGCGAACUGGUGAGUAACACGUGGGAAACCUGCCCAGAAGCGGGGGAUAACACCUGGAAACAGAUGCUAAUACCGCAUAACAACUUGGACCGCAUGGUCCGAGUUUGAAAGAUGGCUUCGGCUAUCACUUUUGGAUGGUCCCGCGGCGUAUUAGCUAGAUGGUGGGGUAACGGCUCACCAUGGCAAUGAUACGUAGCCGACCUGAGAGGGUAAUCGGCCACAUUGGGACUGAGACACGGCCCAAACUCCUACGGGAGGCAGCAGUAGGGAAUCUUCCACAAUGGACGAAAGUCUGAUGGAGCAACGCCGCGUGAGUGAAGAAGGGUUUCGGCUCGUAAAACUCUGUUGUUAAAGAAGAACAUAUCUGAGAGUAACUGUUCAGGUAUUGACGGUAUUUAACCAGAAAGCCACGGCUAACUACGUGCCAGCAGCCGCGGUAAUACGUAGGUGGCAAGCGUUGUCCGGAUUUAUUGGGCGUAAAGCGAGCGCAGGCGGUUUUUUAAGUCUGAUGUGAAAGCCUUCGGCUCAACCGAAGAAGUGCAUCGGAAACUGGGAAACUUGAGUGCAGAAGAGGACAGUGGAACUCCAUGUGUAGCGGUGAAAUGCGUA